rnacentral:lncRNA from 1 species
AUGGUUGUGUUUUUGGAAUUUUUGUUCACAUAACUGGGUUAGGGUUCAGUUAGUUUGAGAAUGACAGAGGAAAAUAAGUUUAAAGUUUGGAGUGGUGUGAUAAAAUUCGUAAGUUGAGAGUAUUAUCGACCAAAUGAUGAAAGUUUAAGUUAUUUAAAUCUAUUAUUCCUUAUUUCUAAUUACAUAAUCUUUAAACGUAAUUUAUUGUAUUUAUUUAUGCAAUAUUAAUAGGGUGUUAAUAAAGCCACAACCCAAAAUUUAUU